UAGAGUUUGAUCCUGGCUCAGAACGAACGCUGGCGGCAUGCCUAACACAUGCAAGUCGAACGAGAUCUUCGGGUCUGGUGGCGCACGGGUGCGUAACGCGUGGGAAUCUGCCCUUUGGUUCGGAAUAACAGUUGGAAACGACUGCUAAUACCGGAUGAUGACGAAAGUCCAAAGAUUUAUCGCCAGAGGAUGAGCCCGCGUAGGAUUAGCUAGUUGGUGUGGUAAAGGCGCACCAAGGCGACGAUCCUUAGCUGGUCUGAGAGGAUGAUCAGCCACACUGGGACUGAGACACGGCCCAGACUCCUACGGGAGGCAGCAGUGGGGAAUAUUGGACAAUGGGCGAAAGCCUGAUCCAGCAAUGCCGCGUGAGUGAUGAAGGCCUUAGGGUUGUAAAGCUCUUUUACCCGGGAUGAUAAUGACAGUACCGGGAGAAUAAGCUCCGGCUAACUCCGUGCCAGCCGCCGCGGUAAUACA
rnacentral:rRNA from 1 species